GUACGGGAGGCAGCAGUGGGGAAUCUUGCGCAAUGGGCGAAAGCCUGACGCAGCAACGCCGCGUGUGUGAUGAAGGUCUUCGGAUCGUAAAGCACUGUCGCGAGGGACGAAUAAGUUCUCGGCUAACAUCCGGGGACGAUGACGGUACCUCGAGAGGAAGCACCGGCUAACUCUGUGCCAGCAGCCGCGGUAAUACAGAGGGUGCAAGCGUUGUUCGGAAUUAUUGGGCGUAAAGCGCGUGUAGGCGGCCUAGCAAGUCGGGUGUGAAAGCCCUCGGCUUAACCGAGGAAGUGCGCCCGAAACUACUAGGCUUGAGUACCGGAGAGGGUGGCGGAAUUCCCGGUGUAGAGGUGAAAUUCGUAGAUAUCGGGAGGAACACCAGCGGCGAAGGCGGCCACCUGGACGGAUACUGACGCUGAGACGCGAAAGCGUGGGUAGCAAACAGGAUUAGAUACCCUAGUAGUCC
rnacentral:rRNA from 1 species